rnacentral:rRNA from 1 species
GACAGAGGGUGCAAACGUUGUUCGGAAUUACUGGGCGUAAAGCGUGUGUAGGCGGCUAGGUAAGUCGGAUGUGAAAGCCCCGGGCUCAACUCGGGAAGUGCACUCGAUACUGCUUAGCUCGAGUACCGGAGAGGUUGGUGGAAUUCUCGGUGUAGAGGUGAAAUUCGUAGAUAUCGAGAGGAACACCGGUGGCGAAGGCGACCAACUGGACGAGUACUGACGCUGAGACACGAAAGCGUGGGGAGCAAACAGG